ACAUUGUGACAAAAUCCAAAGCAGCGUUUUUUCUGCACAUGAAUAAGUCUGCGAAACCUACUAAGACUGCAGUGCCGCUAUAAAAGGAACAUCGGUAAAGUCGUAUUAUUAAUUAUUUUUAUAAUGACUCCUCGGCCAUUUCUAGCAAGUUUACAGACCACGGAAAGAACACAAUGUACUAAAUGACACUUGGCAGGGAAUUGCGUUAGUGACGCUAUGCGUGCCUCAAGUGCCGGACCAGACGUACCAGGUCGUGGCGAUCAGAUAGACUAACUAGACCAGAACUCAAACAGCUCGAGUGUAAGGUGGCAAAGUGGUCAAUAAGAACCCAAUGAUCUUUAACUACGCCCUGUUUCCCCCCUUCAUGGUGAGUGAUACAUCUUUGCUCCGCAAAAAGCGUAGCACAGAGCGUACAGCAGCGCAACAAUGAAAGGUACAACCUGAGUGGUUUGGCGUAGAGUGACACAGGGUGCAUCUGCAUUAGGAUGAAAUUGCCAGUGUUGUGGAAGGAAAUUAAAGGCUCAUGUCUAUAAGGUUGUCUGCAGGGGGAACGACCUAUUAAACUUUUUAAGUGCAGUGAAACAGGAAGUGAACAGAAUUGCUGGCAUGCGCUGAAAUGAAGAGCUGCAGACAAAAGCCAUUCUGUAUGUAAUGGAGAAUAGGCAUAAAACGUAAAACCCUCUGGGGUAAAACUGCAGGCAAAGAGUGGGAAAAUCACAGCGAACCAACCCCGAUGGCCCGACUGCUGCUUUUUAAGCGCUCUAACUAAUAGGAUUAUAGUUGACUAUGACACCAGCUGUACGUAUCUUGUCAAGGCUGUUCAAGUCGAGCUCAAGGCAUCUGUUUCAGUCUCUGUGAAUACUUCUGUGUUUGCAGUAAAUCUCGAAAGUGGCAUCAGUUUGAAAAGGUCCGACUCUGAUUCCUCCCUCCGUAUCUCAGACUUCAUCUGGCCAAGCUCUACUUCCUGUACCCGUAAUGCCUCACUCAGCUCUGAGUAUCUCAGAUCUGUUCUGCAACCAUUCAUGGACAGCAGCUACGCCCAUUGCUCACUGGUAA